AUACGGAGGAUCCGAGCGUUAUCCGGAUUUAUUGGGUUUAAAGGGAGCGUAGCUGGAUGUUUAAGUCAGUUGUGAAAGUUUGCGGCUCAACCGUAAAAUUGCAGUUGAUACUGGAUAUCUUGAGUGCAGUUGAGGCAGGCGGAAUUUGUGGUGUCGGGGUGAAAUGCUUAGAUAUCACGAAGAACUCCGAUUGCGAAGGCAGCCUGCUAAGCUGCAACUGACAUUGAGGCUCGAAAGUGUGGGUAUCAAACAGGAUUAGAUACCCUGGUAGUCCACACGGUAAACGAUGAAUACUCGCUGUUUGCGAUAUACGGCAAGCGGCCAAGCGAAAGCGUUAAGUAUUCCACCUGGGGAGUACGCCGGCAACGGUGAAACUUAAAGGAAUUGACGGGG
rnacentral:rRNA from 1 species